rnacentral:ncRNA from 1 species
AUUAACGCAUUGACGAGAAAGAGUAUGUUAUAUAACUCACUUCCAGAGAGAAAAUACAUUAGCUGAAAGUAUUUUUAUUUGAGCAUAACAGAAAACCACCUCCGAGCGACUUUAAUACAGUCCGGUUUUAUCACGUUACGAUAAUAAAAGUGAUUCAUAUAAUUUUAUAUGAAUAAUUAGAGUGGAACCACGGAUAUUACUUCGUCUCUAUA